rnacentral:rRNA from 1 species
GGGUCAGUAGGUUGGUCGUGCCACCGGUACGUACUGGUCUCACUGAUUCCUCCUUCCUGAAGAACCGUAAUGCCAUUAAUUUGGUGUUGCGGGGAAACAGGACUGUUACUUUGAAAAAAUUAGAGUGUUUAAAGCAAGCUAACGCUUGAAUACAUUAGCAUGGAAUGAUGAAAUAGGACGAUCGAUCCUAUUUUGUUGGUUUCUGGGAUUGACGUA